GCGUUGGCCAACCGCUGCUCCGUCACGCGCCUGGCUCGUCACGCAUCUCGCGGCUUCCCGGCCGGCGGGCUGCAAACGUCACACGACGGCCCCGCCCCCUUGGCCCGCCAACUGGACAGCGGAGCGCGAUGAUUGAUAGGCCAAAAUCAACAGCCAAUUUGGAUACCAUCAAGACACCUGAAAGCUUAUCAUGAGCGAGAUGCUGAGAAAGAGAUUCCAGAAGGAUCCCGAGGACCCCCCAGUUGCAGCCAUGUCAAGACUGAUGCUGAGAGAGGAGGACCCCAACUGUCACAAGCAACACCCGUCGAACACAGCCACCCACCUGGAGACAGAUCAAGAAGCAGUCAUAGAUGGCGGAAGAAAACCUGAGCAAAGUGGGACAAUCAGUCACAAUGAGUAAUUUAAUGGUAGCUAUGAUAGCGGUGAUCACCAUUGCCAUGAGUAUUUCUUCAACAAGGGCUAACACAGAGAACAAUUAUACUUAUUGGGCAUAUUUAUCAAUCUUGUCUGGCAAUAAUGUCUGGAUGUAAUCACUCUAUGACACAGUGAUACACGCUUUCUGAUCUCAGUAUUUACCAUAAUAAAUCUGCUCCUAUAAUUGAGGCAUACCGCCCUCAAAAACCUAUUUGUAAACAGGAUUGCCUCAGUUAGAAAAAAUGAACGUACUUGUUUAGGAAGAUUGCAUUGCAGAACAGGCAGAAGUGCUGUUCUACGAUUCCCAUGGAGUCAUUAUUAAUUGGUCCCCUAAGGGAAUCUUUAGCUUGAAUUGCACCUCUCAGUCUGCAUGCCAUGGUCACACUAUGUUCAGCUGGUCUGAACAAAAUGGUCAGAUGGUAGAAAUGAUAAGAAGUACGGCAAGAGUUCCUAUUAUCUGGAACCAUGGCGGUAUAGUGGCAUCUCACCCUCAAAUGAUGUGGCCUGUUGUAGGAGCUAAACAAGGAUUUGUGGAAACUAUUAUUAAAAGAACAAACAUUUAAGGCAUCCCAGGCACACCUGACCUUAAUGCCAGCAACCCGAGUGCUUGAAGAAGCUGCAGACAGUUUAGCAGCUAGUAACCCAUUAAAAUGGAUAAAAACACUUGGAA